GACGAGCGCUGGCGGCGUGCUUAACACAUGCAAGUCGAACGGAAAGGCCCUGCUUUUGUGGGGUGCUCGAGUGGCGAACGGGUGAGUAACACGUGAGUAACCUGCCCUUGACUUUGGGAUAACUUCAGGAAACUGGGGCUAAUACCGGAUAGGAGCUCCUGCUGCAUGGUGGGGGUUGGAAAGUUUCGGCGGUUGGGGAUGGACUCGCGGCUUAUCAGCCUGUUGGUGGGGUAGUGGCUUACCAAGGCUUUGACGGGUAGCCGGCCUGAGAGGGUGACCGGCCACAUUGGGACUGAGAUACGGCCCAGACUCCUACGGGAGGCAGCAGUGGGGAAUAUUGCACAAUGGGCGGAAGCCUGAUGCAGCAACGCCGCGUGCGGGAUGACGGCCUUCGGGUUGUAAACCGCUUUCGCCUGUGACGAAGCGUGAGUGACGGUAAUGGGUAAAGAAGCACCGGCUAACUACGUG
rnacentral:rRNA from 1 species